UGGGGUAAUACUAUGAGGUGUUGGGUCCUGUGGGGUAAUACUAUGAGGUGUUGGGUCCUGUGGGGUAAUACUAUGAGGUGGGGUAAUACUAUGAGGUGUUGGGUCCUGUGAGGUAAUACUAUGAGGUGUUGGUCCUGUGGGGUAAUACUAUGAGGUGUUGGGUCCUGUGAGGUAAUACUAUGAGGUGUUGGGUCCUGUGGGGUAAUACUAUGAGGUGGGGUAAUACUAUGAGGUGUUGGGUCCUGUGGGGUAGUACUAUGAGGUGUUGGGUCCUGUGAGGUAAUACUCCUGGCUCAGGAUCUGUUGUUAUGUACCCGGUCUCCUGAGGACUGGCUUGGUCUCUGACUCCUUCUCUCCCUCCCCUCCUCCAGACCGUACCUGGUGAACCUCCUCCCCUGUCUGACCAGGAUCACGAAGAGACAGGAGGAGACUGUCCAGGAGACCCUGUCGGCUGCCGUGCCUAAGAUCAUGACUGCUCUGGGACACUUCGCU
ensembl:lncRNA